UACGGAGGGGGCUAGCGUUGUUCGGAAUUACUGGGCGUAAAGCGCACGUAGGCGGCUUUGCAAGUCGGGGGUGAAAGCCCGAGGCUCAACCUCGGAACUGCCUUCGAUACUGCGGGUCUCGAGUCCGGGAGAGGUGAGUGGAAUUCCUAGUGUAGAGGUGAAAUUCGUAGAUAUUAGGAAGAACACCAGUGGCGAAGGCGGCUCACUGGCCCGGUACUGACGCUGAGGCGCGAAAGCGUGGGGAGCAAACAGG
rnacentral:rRNA from 1 species